UACGUAGGGGGCGAGCGUUGUCCGGAUUUAUUGGGCGUAAAGAGCGUGUAGGCGGCCAGGUAGGUCUGCUGUGAAAACUCGAGGCUCAACCUCGAGACGUCGGCGGAAACCAUCUGGCUAGAGUCCGGAAGAGGUGAGUGGAAUUCCGAGUGUAGAGGUGAAAUUCGUAGAUAUUCGGAAGAACACCAGUGGCGAAGGCGGCUCACUGGACUGGUAUUGACGCUGAGGUGCGAAAGCGUGGGGAGCAAACAGG
rnacentral:rRNA from 1 species